UCCCAUCAUCCUAGGACUUUAGGACCUACACAGCUCAAGCGGACCAUUCCUCCCCUUUUCUUGCUGCUUCCUGUGAAGUCGCCUGCCCUGGUAGGCCCGCCGCCCAGUUCCUCGGGUUCGGACCGCCUUUGCAGUGUAUUACGACCCCUUCCCGCCAAGACUCGGCGUGACUCAAUCUUACCGGCGCCUCUAUUCUUACCCUGCCAUUUUUAUCCGAUGCUAUGGUCCCGCAUCUCCGCCGUUUUUGAACGCUACGGCCGCCGCGUUUCCUUUCUUUCCACCCUUCCCCGGGUACUUUAUCCUACCCUUCUUGGGUA
rnacentral:lncRNA from 1 species